rnacentral:rRNA from 1 species
AGCGAACGUUUGCGGCGGGCCUAACACAUGCAAGUCGAACGCACUAGCAAUAGUGAGUGGCGCACGGGUGCGUAACACGUGGGUAAUCAACCCUUCAGCCUGGGAUAACGACUCGAAAGGGUCGCUAAUACCGGAUACGGCGCGAGAGGCUUCGGCUUCUCACGAGAAAGCCACGCAAGGGGGCACUGAAGGACGAGCCUGCGGCCCAUCAGCUAGUUGGUGAGGUAAGAGCUCACCAAGGCUAAGACGGGUAGCUGGUCUGAGAGGAUGAUCAGCCACACUGGAACUGAGACACGGUCCAGACUCCUACGGGAGGCAGCAGUGGGGAAUAUUGCGCAAUGGGCGAAAGCCUGACGCAGCCACGCCGCGUGAGCGAUGAAGGCCUCGGUCGUAAAGACUCUGUGGGAGAGACGAAGAAAGACCUGUGAAGAGCAGGCCUUGACGGUAGUCUCCUUAGCAAGCACCGGCUAACUCCGUGCC